rnacentral:lncRNA from 1 species
CUUUUGGCCAGUCUCAGAUGCUUGUCUUCCAGAAUGUCUGCGUGUGGAUGAAUCACAACAGGAUCCUGGGAACUUUUAAGAAAGGAAAGAUUGCUUCACGUGUAAUGAAAAGCUAGUGUCCAGAAGAUCACUGCGGCCAGAUGCCAAUUUUGAUGCCCUCGUCAGUAAGACUUGUCCAAGCCCUGAUGUAUGUGAAACUCAUCAGGAGGGAAUGCUGGCAAGAAUCAGCUAACACAGUAGCAGCAAGCUUUCAGUGACAGCGUUAAGGAAGGGUGACGAUUCAGGCUGGGAGCAGGUGUAUGGGAACUGUAUAAUCACAGCCUGACCCCCUGUUUGACUACCUGAGGCGAGUGCUGAGUCAGCUGCAGGGGCACAGGUGAUGGCAGUUUGACCUGAGUGACCGUAAGGGGUGGACCCUGGCUGCAGCCCUGCUAGACCCCAUGUAAGGGCUGACUCCCAAGGAGGAAGGAUCUCUAUCUGGAGGUCACCCUUAGUGGAGCCCUUCUGCGCGCCCAGGGUACGGGAAAGCAGUGCGGAGGGAACGUGUGUGGUGAGAUGCUGAGGAGAGAUUGCCUUCCUUGCCCCAGCAGGCUGCUUGUGUCCUGGUGAUGCACGGUGACGAGAAGGCUGCUGUUCUGAACAGCACAAGGCAACAGAGACGUUGACAGCAGCGAUGGAGAUGGAGAUGUUCAGAGUGGAGGAGCUGUUGGCUCGCUGCAGCCACCCCAGCAUCCCCGGAGCUCCCUGCUGGCCCCGGAGGAGUCCGAGUGCUCUGUGCUGGAAGAAGAGGAGUCGAGGCUGCUGGAGACAUCAGGGCUCAGUGGCUCUGUGGCAGUGAUGCGCUGC